UACGUAGGGUGCAAGCGUUAAUCGGAAUUACUGGGCGUAAAGCGUGCGCAGGCGGCUUUGCAAGACAGAUGUGAAAUCCCCGGGCUUAACCUGGGAACUGCAUUUGUGACUGCAUGGCUGGAGUGCGGCAGAGGGGAUGGAAUUCCGGCGUGUAGCAGUGAAAUGCGUAGAUAUGCGGAGGAACACCGAUGGCGAAGGCAGUCCCCUGGGCCUGCACUGACGCUCAUGCACGAAAGCGUGGGAGCAAACAGG
rnacentral:rRNA from 1 species